GUCUAUUAAGGUAAAGCUAGUUAAGGCACUUGAACCACACGACUUUUGGUGGGAGUCGAACCCACGACCAUU
rnacentral:lncRNA from 1 species